UCUCAUCUUUGGCAUCAUUGCCAUCCUCAUCCUUGCAUUCUUGGUGUUGCCAGUACCAAUUAUUACAUUUCUUGUAGCAAUUGGAAAGGCACCAACAAGGUUGCGUCCAUUCCAAGAUGUCUUGAUUCUGGGCCAUGGCUUUCAACCAAGGAAAGCAUGGUGGUUUUCUGUUGACCUUCUACGGCGCCUCUUUGUCUCUCUUCUCUUCAUAUUCAUCACUGACUACAAAAUCAGAGUGGUGUCACUGGAAUUGGCCGCACUGUUUCUAUUGACAAUACAUCUCUACACGCAACCCUAUAUUGAACGUUUAGCUAAUGUAGCGGAAGCUCUGGCACUGCUUGAUCUUGCACUCGUUGGAUCACUGACUAUUCAACAAGAUGAGAGAAACACACCGACAGCUGUCUUCAUCACGUUUAUCCUCCUUCCCGUGGCCUACAUGCUGAUAUAUAUCUCUCUGACACUCUGGUCUUCCUUUAAGCAAUGGAAGAAACAGAAGAACAAAGCUAAACAAGGUCUGUUGGAUGAAAUAGAUGGUGACUCUGAUACAGCCGGCGGCGUAGUUUCUCGAGAUAGUGCUUCACUUGGCUAUGCUAGACCUGUGCUACGCAAGUUGCAUGCAGCAAGUGACGUCACUGGUCCAUAUGCAGCUGUACGCGCAAGCGCUAUCGCCAGGCUACCCGACAGUGAUGACCCAGAUUCAGCUGCACAAAGAUCUGAUAACACACCCACACACAUCAACAGUGGUACUGGCAACAGUGGCGCUGGCAGCAAUGGUGGCGGCAACUCUACAAGUCACAGCCUGCGUAGGAGUUCAAAGUCUCGGCGUACGUCUUGGCGCCGUAAAGGCAAACCACCAGCCAAUGGGAUGACAGCAGAUGCUGGAUCAAGGGAUGAAUUUCUGUCAAUGAGUGUUGAUGUGGAUUCUAAAAGAGAGCAUCUGUCAUCGAAAAAUGUCGGAACAAAUAGUUCAAGGGUGUCCAUGGAGGAUAGAGGGGAUCGGCAUGAACUCCGUCAAGUAAGAAGGCAAUUAAAAACACCACUCCUGGGACAACAGACACAUACAUAUGCAACACCUCCUUCACAUUCUUCAGGCGACAGUGACUAACGUUAAGGUUAUGUUGAUAGCGUCAGUGUUCACUGUUACAACUAGUCAUUCAGCUAGUGCCUCCUCAUACUGGAUACAUGUAGUUCAAAAUGCUAACGCUUCAUACUGGAUGUGUAGUGCAUUACGCUAGCGCUUCACACUGGAUGCAUUCUUAGUGUGUGACAAACAGCCUAUCAACAAUAGCAGCAAGGGGAGGACUUCAUAACCGUCCUCAAAUGAAUGCAGGAUUGCGAACGCCUUUUACGCUAGAGCCUGAGCUUCACUAGUAGUAUCCUUGAUCACAUUUUUAUCCUUUCGCUAUAUGUAGUCCUAGCCAGGUACAAAACAAAUUAUUAAUUUCACAAAGUACUUCUUUGAUAGAAUAUAAAUGUAGUUGGCAUGUGCGUCCAUCACAGCAUGCACUUGAUGAAACUGAUACUGUAAGGAGAAGUAAAGGCAUUCGGGAUAUCCUCUUAUCAACAUAACUAAGAUUAAAUUUCAAGUUUUUGUGGUUCUAGGUGUUUAGUUGAGCAUGAAUCAUACUUUUCUGGGUGAGCAGAGUCCGCACCGCAGCUUGAAUCGUAAUAUUAUUAUUUGAGAACAGGAAUGUUUUAACUACUUACUGAAAUACAUGUACUACUUACUCAAUCUGCGGACAGCAUGCUGUUUCGUUCUUUGUGAACUCCUCAGCGCAGCACAGAGAAACUACUUCUGUGCUCUGAGACUAACAUACUAUAGUCAUGUCUAGUGAUAGUGCUGUUACUCAUGCUCCACUUGCCGCUGCAUUCUAUGAUCUAGCCAUGCUGCUGCCUAUCUGCGAGGUAAUCUGUAAAAUAAUAUCACCCGUCA